CGUAAUUCCAUUUCACGAGGAAUCCGGGUUUAGUGCAUUCGAAAAUAGUACUAUGCAUUUAUUUUCAAAGGAAUAUCACUUCAAUGUUCGCUGAAAACAAAUUACUUUCACAAGUAGUUAUAUGGAAACAAUAUCUAGAAAAAUGUUUGGCAAUACGGAAGUGAAACAGAUCCAAAAGUUGCCAAAACAAAA